AACUGAUACUACCUGCGGGAACCUGCGGAAGGAUCAUUAUAGAAUUGUUCGAAUUCCAUACGGGCAUUUUCUAAAAAUCCGUAUCCACACCGGUAGGGUUUUUCUUUUUUCCGUUUGGGAGAAAGUGGCCCUUGCCGUAGGGUUCUGUUCUCUGCUCUCCUCUUUUUUUAUUAAGGGAGUUGGGUGGGGGAUGGUUCCUGUCUGACCCAUGCCUAUAAUUUUAUUUUGUCUGAACUUUUU
rnacentral:misc_RNA from 1 species